UACGGAGGAGGCAAGCGUUAUCCGGAAUUAUUGGGCGUAAAGCGUCCGCAGGUGGCACUUCAAGUCUGUCGUCAAAGACUGGGGCUUAACCCUGGAAAGGCGGUGGAAACUGAAGCGCUAGAGUGCGGUAGGGGUAGAGGGAAUUCCCGGUGUAGUGGUGAAAUGCGUAGAUAUCGGGAGGAACACCAGUGGCGAAGGCGGCUUCCUGGCCUGUUCUUGACGCUGAGGCGCGAAAGCUAGGGGAGCAAACGGG
rnacentral:rRNA from 1 species